UGCGGCACAAUGUGGAUAAAUUUCUUGCUGAAGGAAAACACGCUGUGGCUGGGAUUUGAACCCGCGUCCCUGUCAUUGAAAGACGAGAUUCGUAACCACUAGACCACAACGCCCCCACUUAUAACUUUAUUUCUUUCAAAAAUCUACUUGUACAUGAAUAAUGAUAUGAAUUCUAUAUGCCUUCAAAUGUUGCAUGAUGUACUAUUUUGGGCCCUGCAACAGAAAUUUGUCAGCAUUCUCAUGUUGAGGUUCUUAUUGAAAGCUUGUCUGAGAUUUAUCAAAUGUAGCAAAUAUUCAUGAGUAUAACUUGACCUCAGAAAUGUUUAUAUAUUCUUUAAACUUCAAGACUGUCAAAUUAAAAAAAAAUUGUUUAAAUGGAAUGUUAUAACAGAUGGGAGAUGCCCGCAUUGUUACGUGGACGAAGAUAAUGUACAUGCUUUUGUUGAGUGUAAACUGAAUAAGAGAUUCUUUUCUUAUUUGACAACAAUAGCGAAGUUGGAAUACAAUGUUGACCUUCAAAUAACAGAAAUGCAUUUCAUAAAGCCCACAAAGAAACCGGACUAGAUUCAUUUCUUAAAAUUGCUUUUUGGUGCAUCUACAAAUGUAUACUUAUAAGAAACAAAACAGGAAAAGAUUGUCAUGAAUUUAAUUUGGAAUAUUUGUUUGAAAAAGAAAUAUGUAAACAUGUGAUGUGACUUUGAAUGUUCAAUUAUGUAUAUAAUAAAUGCCCAUGAGGGUUUAAAAAAAAAAUGAAAACCCAUAUUUUUUUAUUGGAAAUAGACAUGAAAUAAAAUACCCAGAAAAUGUACAUGCAGCUCCAGAUUGAUGAGGCUCUAUCUCUUUAAUCGUUGAACGCCAAACAGGGUAGCUGCAACUCACAUCUUUUUACGUCUUUUGGUCUGACAUUGCCGGGGUUUGAACUCCCGACCUCCCGGUUGUAAGACGGACGCUCUGCCAACUGAGCCAACACAUCAGUGAUACCUUGAAGUUUUGUCUGAGGCUUACCCAUUGUAGCAGCAGUUAAUGAAUACAAUCUUGACUCCUAGAUUUGUCAUUUGUUCUUUGCUAUAGGAGUACCUUGUCAGUAGUUGUUGAGGUCCCAGAGAGAGAAUCUUCUCGUUUCUCAGCAAUGCUGGAUAUUGCCCAUGAGAUGCCAUAGCAACACUAUAGAGAAGGUGAACAAAGGGUUCGGACAGUAACAUCUUUGAUCCUGCAAUUGGCAACGGGGCGACAUUGUUCUGGCCGAGCAUGCUGGGAUCCGAGGAAUGUCCCAGGGAACAUCGCUCUUUGAAAGUCUGAGGAAUUAACCUUUUGCAAGCCUGAGAGACACGGACAAUGGCGACAAGAAUUGCCGCUUUGUGCUGGAUGCAGAGCGCGUGCCCAUCCCCUGUGAUCCGUGAGGCUCGAGACUAAAGGAAUUUGCCAGGCUUCAUAUCGGCAGAUGAAAGUCAAUUGCAAAGCCUCUUGUAGCUCUGGAUUGAAACCUGCCAUUACAAGAGAACAUUCUCAAUGCUUCUACUUUGUGCACCAUCGUACGACUAGUGCUACAUACAUUACCGGUAAGU
rnacentral:lncRNA from 1 species